GGGACGGGGACGAUCACAAGAGGGUUUUUGCAAAGUAGCUAAAUUUGGUGUAGUAUGUUCCAACUAUUUAGGAAUAGACGAUAGGUUCCUGUAAAUGAUGGAAAAUUGAAACUUGGUACCAUGCAUGUUUUUGGAUCCAUGUCAACAGAAUGUAGUAAAAAAUAAGUAAUUAAUUGUCUCCCUACUAGAUAUACCAACUGCCUCAUCCAUUAAUAAUCAUCGAGAUUUUAGUUUAAAUUUAAAAUAAAACCGCAAUAAUUAUUAGGAAACCCAAUCAAUUCAGUAUUCUCACACUUCUGCCCUAUAAUAACAAUUGUUUAGACGUCAUUGUAUUAAGGAUGUUAGGCCGAAUGCAUCGCAAUACGAUGGCGAACACAAAACGAAAUUUAACAACGUUUUGAAGUGCGGAAGAAAAGACCGAAAAUAUAGCUUCCGUCGGCAACCCAUUUCAUUUUGCAAUUACCCACCAAUUAGUGAUAUAUAUACACAGUUCAAUCUGUUGGGGUCCAGCUGAAAAUUCAUCAAACAUUGAAUCAGAAGUUUCGCGUGAUACGAUUUAAUUUGGUCCCUUUGUGAGCAGG
rnacentral:lncRNA from 1 species